rnacentral:rRNA from 1 species
UACGGAGGGUGCAAGCGUUGUUCGGAAUUACUGGGCGUAAAGGGCGUGUAGGCGGUUGACUAAGUCAGGUGUGAAAGCCCUCAGCUCAACUGAGGAAGGGCAUUUGAAACUGGGUAACUUGAGUACGGGAGAGGAGAGUGGAAUUCCAGGUGUAGAGGUGAAAUGCGUAGAUAUAAGGAGGAACAUAGGUGGCGAAGGCGGCUCUCUGGACAGAUACUGACGCUGAGGCGCGAAAGCGUGGGGAGCAAACAGG